UUGCACGCUGGCGGCAUGCUUUACACAUGCCAGUCGCACGGUAACAGGGAGCUUGCUCCGCUGACGAGUGGCGAACGGGUGAGUAAUAUAUCGGAACGUACCCAAGAGUGGGGGAUAACGUAGCGAAAGUUACGCUAAUACCGCAUACGAUCUAAGGAUGAAAGCAGGGGACCUUCGGGCCUUGUGCUCCUGGAGCGGCCGAUAUCUGAUUAGCUAGUUGGUGAGGUAAAGGCUCACCAAGGCGACGAUCAGUAGCUGGUCUGAGAGGACGACCAGCCACACUGGAACUGAGACACGGUCCAGACUCCUACGGGAGGCAGCAGUGGGGAAUUUUGGACAAUGGGCGCAAGCCUGAUCCAGCAAUGCCGCGUGAGUGAAGAAGGCCUUCGGGUUGUAAAGCUCUUUUGUCAGGGAAGAAACGGGAUUGGCUAAUAUCCAGUCCUAAUGACGGUACCUGAAGAAUAAGCACCGGCUAACUACGUG
rnacentral:rRNA from 1 species